rnacentral:piRNA from 1 species
UCCUAAUCUAAAUUCAAGCCA